rnacentral:rRNA from 1 species
UGGGGAAUAUUGCACAAUGGGCGCAAGCCUGAUGCAGCCAUGCCGCGUGUGUGAAGAAGGCCUUCGGGUUWKDAAGSACUUUCAGCGAGGAGGAAGGUGGUGARCUUAAUACGCUCAUCAAUGACGUAU